ACCCUUUGGUACCACCUGACUUUUGAACUGUGACUAUGACAUCUAAUGGUAAAAAUUACUUACAUUAGAUGUAUGAUUCUGGGACGAUGGAGUUGACGAUAUUUUCUCUACUUUUACUAGUAAGUACAACUCAAAUAUACUGGACAGAUGUUAAGACGACUCUAAAAGGUGGAAAGGAAGCUGACCGGCUGGGGGACCUCAGGUGAGUUCCCUGUGUUUUCUUUCUGCUUCUGGUGUCCCAGACUUCGAGCUGAAGAAGCCAGCAACUCCGAAAAUCAACAGGCACAGACAAUGCCUGAACAAAAGCCUACUCUUUCUAGUCUCUAGACAAAAGACUAGAAAAGAAGCAGCCUAGCCAGACAGAAAACUCAGAAAAUGAGCAAAAGACAUGACCUGACAUUUCAACAAAGAGGACGCGUAUAGAUGGCAAAUGAACCACAAGACACUGGACAUCAUCAGCCACUAGGAAAAUGCACAUUAAAACCACAAUGCGAUAUGACACGCUUGUCGCUGACGAAAUGUCCCAAACCAACAGAGCUGCCUGACCUGGGAAUCAGACCCGUCCGCCCUAGUGGAAAAGAAGCCCGCUCCUCCAGCUGCGCACCAGAGAAGGCUGCAGUUACCUGGCCUGGUCAAUUCACUGAAGAGAUGCAGGAGAA